rnacentral:tRNA from 1 species
GGGGAUGUAGCUCAGUGAUAGAGCACUUGCCUAGCAUGCAAGGGGCCCUGGGUUCCAUCCUCAGCACCACAA